UGACGGGACCCGCACAAGCAGCGGAGCAUGUGGUUUAAUUCGAAGCAACGCGAAGAACCUUACCAGAUCUUGACAUCCAAUUGACCAUCUUUUAAUCGAGAUUUUGCCUUCGGGUACAAUUGAGACAGGUGGUGCAUGGUUGUCGUCAGCUCGUGUCGUGAGAUGUUGGGUUAAGUCCCGCAACGAGCGCAACCCUUGUGUUUAGUUGCAAACAGGUCAAGCUGUGCACUCUAGACAGACUGCCGUGGACAACACGGAGGAAGGUGGGGAUGACGUCAAAUCAUCAUGCCCCUUAUGAUCUGGGCUACACACGUGCUACAAUGGCCGGUACAACGGGCAGCGAAGGAGCGAUCCGGAGCGAAUCCUAAAAAGCCGGUCCCAGUUCGGAUUGCAGGCUGAAACCCGCCUACAUGAAGUUGGAGUUGCUAGUAAUCGCGAAUCAGAAUGUCACGGUGAAUACGUUCCCGGGCCUU
rnacentral:rRNA from 1 species